UACGUAGGGGGCAAGCGUUGUCCGGAAUCAUUGGGCGUAAAGCGCGCGUAGGCGGCCCGGUAAGUCCGCUGUAAAAGUCCAGGGCUCAACCCUGGAAAGCCGGUGGAUACUGUCGGGCUAGAGUCCGGUAGGGGAGUGUGGAAUUCCCGGUGUAGCGGUGAAAUGCGCAGAUAUCAGGAGGAACACCGGUGGCGAAGGCGGGUCUCUGGGCAGUAACUGACGCUGAGGAGCGAAAGCGUGGGGAGCGAACAGG
rnacentral:rRNA from 1 species